rnacentral:misc_RNA from 1 species
UGCUCUCCAUCUCGCCCUUCCUCUCUCGUGUUCCUUGACUCCUCGGCGUCGUCGUCUUUUCUUGUUGCGCUUGGCGAUGAUCUCGCGUUGUUCAUGGCUGUCUCCCUCCUCUUUCGUGUGCCUCUACACUGCGAUGACUAACCCUUGAUGCGCUUCAUCACGUACCAUUCUCUCUCGUUUUUCCUGCGGUGUUUAACACCGCUGACAUUGAUGCAGGCCAUCCUCUCGCAGCUUGAUGACUCAUCCUGCGCCCACGGUCGCGCUUGCUUUUGUGCGGGCGCACAUCACACAGAGCGGAAGAAGGGGGAUGGUGGCGCACGGCGCUGAUGGGCGGAAGCUCUGCGCACUUCGUGCCUCCGACACGCUUUAUCGAAUGACGCACUUCCUUUUCGGUUUCAUGCGCGGCUUGCACGUGGGCUCAUGCCGAGGCGGUCGGAUGACAGGGGGGGGGUGAUGCCGCAGCGCGUGGCAUCUCAGGGCCCAGUGCCCCCACUCUGUCUGGGGAGGCCACGCAGCCCCUCCUUCGUCUCUCCCCCUGCCCAAUGCCGAGCCGCCUGUGGUGGUGGCGCGGUGAAGCACCUGCCACGCGGGGAGGUCAGAGCGAUGUACCGCCCCACUGACGCCGGCGGUCGGGCCCUGGAUGGCGCUGCGGCGGAGCGACCUGCGGCAGUGCACAGGCUUGCGCCACGCAUAUGGUAGGCGAAGCGUCAGCGUGUCUCGAGCGUGUAAUCCCACCCCCGGCCCUCGCACUGCGUACGGGGGUGUGGGGAGCCACCCACCCACCCCUGAGGAGAGAAUGCACCCGGUGGCGCCCGACAUAGUGGGGGAGCGGCUGUGAGGCGACCUGCGGGGCGCGGGUGGGUGUGCGGUGCUCGAGGCAGGGGGGUGGUGCUCCGACGGCUGAGCCGGGCGCAUUGCUGCACUGGCGUGUCUCUCGCUCUGCAUCGCACGACGCGGAUGGGGGCCUGUGGCAGGGCCUGGGGGGGUUAUCGAGAGGCGCUCAGUGAAAUGCACUGUGGCAGUGAAUUUGCACAGGCUGAAGAAUAAACAAGAACUCAUCGCGCGGCGCAGGUUUGUGGAUGCGCGAUCUUCUGCACAGCCUUGUCUUCCGUGGCGGGCGCUGUACUCCACCUACACACUUCUCUACCAAAUCCCUCAUCCUGCAUCUUUUUUGGUUUAUGGUGGGCUUUCUCUCUAG